rnacentral:rRNA from 1 species
UUGUCCUACGGGGGGCAGCAGUGGGGAAUAUUGCACAAUGGGGGAAACCCUGAUGCAGCGACGCCGCGUGAGUGAAGAAGUAUUUCGGUAUGUAAAGCUCUCUCAGCAGGGAAGAAAAUGACGGUACCUGAUUAAGAAGCCCCGGCUAACUACGUGCCAGCAGCCGCGGUAAUACGUAGGGGGCAAGCGUUAUCCGGAUUUACUGGGUGUAAAGGGAGCGUAGACGGCAGCGCAAGUCUGAAGUGAAAUGCCG